AAAAUGUUGAGGCUGUGAAGCUGCUGUCUGGAAUUGCACCACCACUGGCCAGACCAAUAGCUUCUAUUUCACAAUCUGAAAGUUGAAGGACAAAGGUGAAAAAGGUGGUACCAUCCAAUGAUAACUGAAUCUUGUAGUUUUUUGUCCACUCAUCAAUACCAUUAGCUCCUUGAGUAGCU